ACCUACAGGCAGGAAAGGGAAGAGGAAGCAUGGGUAGUGAGAGAGAGGGUCAGAAGUCAAUGCUACACAGGAGGCUUUCUAUAUAUGGCAUGGGGACACAGAGGGUAGGUACCACAAUGAGAAAAAAAAAGUAUGGGUAGCUGGGCUCCUUUUGGCCAGAUGUCAUCUCCUCUCUAGGCACCUUACCUUGUUUGCUUGUUUUCUCCUCCUUCUCUGCCUGCCCAAGACUCCUGCUGGCUCUUGGACUCUCUCAGCUGGCAUUGUCCUAAGUGGUGCCAAGGGCCUAGGGUAGACUAAAAAUGCCUUGGAGAGAUAGAGCUCAUCUAACAAAGUUUCUAAGUGGUUGUUUUGGAAUGGUGAACUAUUGGAAUUACUUAAGAAAUCUUGAUUAAGUGGAAGAAGACUGAAUUUGGAGCCAGAAGAUUCUUGGUUCAAAUCUUUGCUCUGCUACCAACUACAGGGAUGGCUGAGCAAAUGCAAAACACUUAAUUUCUCUGGGCCUCAAUAUUUGUAAAAUAAGGAGACUGAACUAAAUGACUUCUGUGGUCUAUUCCAGUUCUAAAUCUAUGAAGAAAUGAAAGUCUCCUCCCUGCCAAUUGGUUUGUAAAAGGUAACUCGGGAUGAUGGAUAUGUACUGAAUCAGGCCCAGAAAUAGGGCCUGAAGUCUACUAUUGAUGUGACUAAGCUAGAAAAGGCAUUUUUAGUCUACCCUAGGCCCUAGCACCACUUAGGACAAUGCCAACUGAGAGAGUCCUGGGCAGGGGAGGAAGCCAAAAAAUCUUAUUUUCAAUAAUCCUUGUCUAUGUUUCCAAAACAGUGAGCUCUAACCUUAGUCAGUGGUUAGGCUGUCUUUAUCUCCCUCCCUUUUCCCAAUGAGCUGUCAGGGCUAGGGUGGCUCAAACACUGAUUCACUGUGAUGGCAUGCCAAAUUCAAUCCUGCAUCUGGGAGAUUAUCUGAGUGGUGAGGCCUGUCAGACCUGGGAAGGGAGGUGACUUUCUAGUUGAGCGGCUAGAAGGGUACUAGAUAAAGGACUAGGACCACAUGCUGGGUCACACAGACACCUACUCAAAAGUACCUAGUAGCCUGGGUCCUACCUGCAGCCCUUAAUGGGUCAUUACAGAGACAGGGACAGAGACAGAGACUGCACCAGGCAGGGGAUGAGAAGCAACUGAUCAAGGCCACAGUGGGAGGCUGUGCUCUUGACAUCUAGAACAAGGGAGUCCGUCUUAUGCAGGAAAGAAGUCUUCCAACACAAGAAUCUUGGGAUCUUUAGAUAAUGGACUAAAUUUUCCUUUAUCCCCUACUGUGACAGACAGCUCAAGGGGACUGAGAAGCAUCAAGCAUCCAAAGUGCCUGUUCUCAGGGAUUCAAUCAACUUUCAUCCUUUGAGGAGUUCACAAUAAGAAAGGUGAAAAGUCCCUUCUUAAUUGAAGGUGGUCGGGGGGGGUAGGAUUUGUGCAAGGAAGGCUAGCUCCCACCACCAAAGCAACUAGGGUGAAGUCUGAUCUUUCCAGACUGUUUCAUUAUCUUGGAUGAUUUCUCAACUGUAAUAUAUUACUGCUAUCUUCAAAUUCCAAAAGAGCAGGGUAUUUGGCUGAGUUUGGGUGGUCUGAUGGGUGAUUCAGGGCAGAGAUGAGGAAAUUUCAGGGAGGAGAAGCCAAUACCAUCUAGGGGAGAAAAGGUAAAGGGCAGAAAGACCUAAGAGUGGAGCAGGAUGUCUUCUGUUAGGAGCAGGAGAAGUGAAAAAAGAGCAGAGGAACCCCUACCUUUCAUUAGGUAAGCAUGCCUCAGCUCUGGGAAUCAGAGACAUAGAACCAGAUGAUUACCCCCAUAGGGAAGGAAACAUUUAUUCCUGGAACAAAUUUAUGGCUCAGCACGGCUGUCCUACGAAAUCCUCCUCAAGCACAGAGAAACCCUGACAAAUUGGUAGCCGAUUGAUUUAUCCCCAUUAUCAGUGCUAGGAUGUAAGUCAAACCAUUG